rnacentral:rRNA from 1 species
UCGAAAGAGAACCUGCACACAGGUGCUGCACGGCUGUCGUCAGCUCGUGUCGUGAGAUGUUGGGUUAAGUCCCGCAACGAGCGCAACCCUUGCCAUCAGUUGCUACGAAAGGGCACUCUGAUGGGACUGCCGGUGACAAACCGGAGGAAGGUGGGGAUGACGUCAAGUCCUCAUGGCCCUUAUAGGUGGGGCUACACACGUCAUACAAUGGCCGGUACAAAGGGCAGCAAACCCGCGAGGGGGAGCCAAUCCAUCAAAGCCGGUCGUAGUCCGGAUCGCAGUCUGCAACUCGACUGCGUGAAGUCGGAAUCGCUAGUAAUCGUGGAUCAGCAUGUCACGGUGAAUACGUUCCCGGGUCUU